CCCUUAGAUGUCCUGGGCCGCACGCGCGCUACACUGAUGAAGGCAGCGAGUCCACCUUGGUCGGAAGGCCCGGGUAAUCUUGUGAAACUUCAUCGUGAUGGGGAUAGAUCAUUGCAAUUAUUGAUCUUCAACGAGGAAUUCCUAGUAAGCGCAAGUCAUCAGCUUGCGUUGAUUACGUCCCUGCCCUUUGUACACACCGCCCGUCGCUCCUACCGAUUGUGUGCACAGGUGAGGACUAGGGAGCCCCGAUGUAGGGUAGUUUCUACCCCACUUUGGGACGAACUUGUCCAAAUCUUUUCACAUAGAGGAAGGAGAAGUCGUAGCA
rnacentral:rRNA from 1 species